rnacentral:rRNA from 1 species
GGGUAGUCCAGGGUGUAAACGCUGCAGGCUUGGUGUCGGGGGUCCUACGAGGGCACUCGGUGCCGGAGAGAAGUUGUUAAGCCUGCCGCUUGGGGAGUACGCUCGCAAGAGUGGAACUUAAAGGAAUUGGCGGGGGAGCACAGCAACGGGAGGAGCGUGCGGUUCAAUUGGAUUCAACGCCGUAAAACUCACCGGGAGCGACGGUUACAUGAAGGUCAAGCUGAUGACUUUACCUGAUUUUCCGAGAGGUGGUGCAUGGCCGCCGUCAGUUCGUACCGUAAGGCGUUCUGUUAAGUCAGAUAACGAACGAGACCCUCACCCUUAAUUGCCAGCCAUUCCUCCGGGAAUGGGGAACAUUAAGGGGACCGCUGGCGCUAAGUCAGAGGAAGGCGAGGUCAACGGUAGGUCAGUAUGCCCCGAAUCUCCCGGGCUACACGCGCGCUA